UAUUUAUUARAUAAAAAAMCAACRCCCUUCGGGGCUCCUUGGKGAAUCAUAAUAACUUAACGAAUCGCAUGGCCUUGCGCCGGCSAUGGUUCAUUCAAAUUUCUGCCCUAUCAACUUUCGAUGGKAGGAUAGUGGCCUACCAUGGUGGCAACGGGUAACGGGGAAUUAGGGUUCGAUUCCGGAGAGGGAGCCUGAGAAACGGCUACCACAUCCAAGGAAGGCAGCAGGCGCGCAAAUUACCCAAUCCCGAUACGGGGAGGUAGUGACGAUAAAUACUGAUACGGGGCUCUUUUGGGUCUCGUAAUUGGAAUGAGAACAAUUUAAAUCCCUUAACGAGGAACAAUUGGAGGGCAAGUCUGGUGCCAGCAGCCGCGGUAAUUCCAGCUCCAAUAGCGUAUAUUAAAGUUGUUGCAGUUAAAAAGCUCGUAGUUGAACCUUGGGUCUGGCUGGCCGGUCCGCCUCACCGCGAGUACUGGUCCGGCUGGACCUUUCCUUCUGGGGAACCUCAUGGCCUUCACUGGCUGUGGGGGGAACCAGGACUUUUACUGUGAAAAAAUUAGAGUGUUCAAAGCAGGC
rnacentral:rRNA from 1 species